rfam:Triticum aestivum genome assembly, contig: Triticum_aestivum_CS42_TGACv1_scaffold_472075_6AL
UAGCACAGUGGCUAGUGCCCUCGGUUCUCAAUCGAGAGGUUGUGGGUUCGAGUCCCAG